GACUUGAGCUGUUACAAAUGGUAUCAUAAUCAGACACGGGGUGGUAUGCCAGCGAGGAUGCUGACCCCUUAAGGAGAUGAAUUGUGAGAACUCACAUUAGUUAGAGAGGAGAACAAAGCGCAUCCCUUAUAAGGGUGCGAAAACUUCUCCGUAACAGACCGGUUUUAAAUCUGAGGGAAAACUUAGAAGAGAAAGUCCAGCUUCCACACUAAAAAAAAUUAUAAUGUCUUUGAAUCUGUGCAUUUUUAUGGUUGUGCAAUGAUAAAUGAUUUAUUGGUGACUUUUAUGGGGGUUGUGUUGAAACCCUAAAACAAAAAGUGAUGAGGGUUGAUGAUGAUGAAAGAGAAUGUUGAUUUGGUUAGUGAGAAAUGAGAUCAAUUAUAGGGCGCUAUGGCUCACAUGUUGAUGGGACAUUGCUGUGUGAGGCAGCAGAAAGGCCCCAUCUUAACCUACGGAUCCACAAGGAAUGACUUAUUUACAAACAAAUAGCAAGAGAUAACUAUAUGUUCUCUUGGUGCUAUUCUUUAACUUCUGUGGUGCAGGAACCUUUUGCUAGCUCCCCACAUUGUUGCCUCGAUGCUUGGAAGAGAUUUGAGGAGAAGCGGGGGCGUUGCGAGAAUCGAACUCACGACCUCUCGCACCCGAAGCGAGAAUCAUACCACUAGACCAAACGCCCUGCGUGAAUCUUUUUAAAGUUUUUGGAAAAUUUCAAAAUUCAGUGGUGCGGUCAAGUUUUUUUUCGGCGGCGAUGGCUCAUGCCAGCAACACUGUAGCUGGAGUUGAUAACACCAUCAGAAGAAAAUUUGAUCGAGAGGAGUGUUUGGAACGACCUCGUGAGCAUGAAGAACAGGA